rnacentral:rRNA from 1 species
ACGGGUGAGUAAUAUAUCGGAACGUGCCCUAGAGUGGGGGAUAACUAGUCGAAAGAUUAGCUAAUACCGCAUACGAUCUACGGAUGAAAGUGGGGGAUCGCAAGACCUCAUGCUCAUGGAGCGGCCGAUAUCUGAUUAGCUAGUUGGUGGGGUAAAAGCUCACCAAGGCGACGAUCAGUAGCUGGUCUGAGAGGACGACCAGCCACACUGGAACUGAGACACGGUCCAGACUCCUACGGGAGGCAGCAGUGGGGAAUUUUGGACAAUGGGCGCAAGCCUGAUCCAGCAAUGCCGCGUGAGUGAAGAAGGCCUUCGGGUUGUAAAGCUCUUUUGUCAGGGAAGAAACGGUCUUGGUUAAUACCUGGGGCUAAUGACGGUACCUGAAGAAUAAGCACCGGCUAACUACGUGCCAGCAGCCGCGGUAAUACGUAGGGUGCAAGCGUUAAUCGGAAUUACUGGGCGUAAAGCGUGCGCAGGCGGUUAUACAAGACAGAUGUGAAAUCCCCGGGCUCAACCUGGGAAUUGCAUUUGUGACUGUAUGGCUAGAGUGUGUCAGAGGGGGGUAGAAUUCCACGUGUAG